rnacentral:pre_miRNA from 1 species
AGUGGAAUUUCUGGGUCAUAGGGUAAGUGUAUGUUUAACUUUAUAAGAAACUGCCAGACUGUUUUCCAAAGGGGCUGUACCACUUUACACUCCCACUAGAAAU